rnacentral:rRNA from 1 species
GGCUAUGUCUUGUAUUGGAUGAUGGUGACCCUUACCCUCACCAGAGUAGCAAUUGGAGGCAAAGUCUGGUGCCAGCAGCCGCGGUAAUUCCAGCUCCAAUAGCGUAUAUUAAACUUGUUGCAGUUAAAAAGCUCGUAGUUGAAUUUUAGCGUCAUCGAGUUUGCCAUUCGUUUGGCUUUUUCGAGUUCGCUUUUGGGUUUUCCCUUUUUACUUUGAGAAAAUUAGAGUGUUUCAAGCAGACUUUUGUCUUGAAUACUGCAGCAUGGAAUAAUAGAGUAGGACUUUGGUUCUAUUUUGUUCGUUAUUGAACCUUAGUAAUGGUUAGUAGGGGCAGGUGCUUAG